UUUAACAAGGAAUUGAUAUUUGAACGCCAAAAAUAUUAUGGAAUCGCAAUUGUUCAUUGUGAGAAAUCAUCCAUCACAAGAAAACAUAAAAGAAAACAGUGUUCAAACCUUUUCUUCUUUUUUCUUUUUCUUUUCGAGCUCUUCUGGGGUUAAUUCCUUUCCGUCUGAUGCUGCCGCCGCCGCCUAUUAUCAGAAACUCAAUAAUUUAAAUCAAACAGAUUCUACCACAAUGUGCAUCACAAAAAAACUACCUCCAAAUAUUCUUACCUCCGUUUUACAAUUUUUCACAGUCUCUUGUGAUUUACCCGACGAGUCAGCCUACAAUCAGUUCAGUUCACAACAAUAAAAAACUAGAGAAAGUUUGAAUUUUCAAAAACGAUAUAUAUUAGUAAAAGAGAAAAACUCACCAUAGUAUCGGAUUUAGAAGAGAAAAUACAGCGACGGAGAUUAAAGUACGAAGAAGAAAACGACGUCGGAGAUGGCCGCCGGCGGCCGAUGAAAGUGGACUGAGCAAGUAAACACUGGGAGGCUUUGAGAAGUACCCUAAGGCAAGCCGUUAUGGAUUGUUAGAUGGAAUUUCGAAUAACUGUUUGCGUGAAAAUACUGCGAGUAUAUGGAUGUUUGAGAUUCGGCCCA
rnacentral:lncRNA from 1 species